GGUUCAAUGGUGUAGUGGUUAUCACGUCUGUCUUACAUUUGGUCUCCAAGACACAUGUGCACAGACGGUCGCCGGUUCGAUCCCGGCUUGAACCA